rnacentral:rRNA from 1 species
AGUGGCGCACGGGUGAGUAACGCGUAGGUAAGCUACCCUAAAGUAUGGAAUAGCCUUACGAAAGUAAGAUUAAUACCAAAUGUGAUGAUAAUUACCUAAGUAAUAAUCAUUAAAGCUACGGCGCUUUAGGAUGUGCCUGCGUUGGAUUAGUUAGUUGGUGAGGUAACGGCUCACCAAGACCUCGAUCCAUAGCCGAGCUAAGUGGCUGAUCGGCCACAUUGGAACUGAGACACGGUCCAGACUCCUACGGGAGGCAGCAGCUAAGAAUCUUCCGCAAUGGUCGCAAGACUGACGGAGCGACGCCGCGUGAACGAUGAAGGCCUUACAGGUUGUAAAGUUCUUUUAUAGAGGAUGAAUGUAUGAUGUAGUUCAUAUUGACAGUACUCUUUGAAUAAGGUCCGGCUAACUACGUGCCAGCAGCCGCGGUAAUACGUAGGGACCAAGCGUUGUUCGGAAUUACUGGGCGUAAAGGGUACGCAGGCGGUUUAAUAAGUCAGAUGUGAAAUUCUCGGGCUUAACCUGAGAUCUGCGUCUGAUACUGUUAAACUAGAGUUACUGAAAGGAAGGCGGAAUUCCUGGUGUAGGGGUGAAAUCUAUAGAUAUCAGGAAGAACACCUGUUGCGAAGGCUGCCUUCUGGCAGUUAACUGACGCUGAGGUACGAAAGGUAGGGUAGCAAACAGGAUUAGAGACCCUGGUAGUCCUACCUGUAAACGUUGUAUACUAGGUGGUGGAAGCAUUGACCUUUCACUGCCGGAGCAAACGCA